rnacentral:lncRNA from 10 species
AAAAAAAAAACCUCUGGAUACUGCAAUUUCUCUUGCACUUACAGAACAUUUUCCUUCUGUCAUGCAUCAUUUCAGUUUGUCAGUGUGAUGGCUGGUCAAAUAAUUACCUGCCCUUGUACAGCUUACACUCUGGUGAAGUUAUUGAAUGACUUGCCUUCCAGUUGGUCUCAUUUAACUUCUUCCCCACACCUUCCAGGCUUUUUAUAAAAUCAUACUAGAGAUUGUUUGAAGGGUAAUGUGUUAAUUAUCUGACCAACCAUCACAACCAACAAACUGAAAUGGGCAUAGGAACAACUAGAAACCAUUUCAAUUCCUGAGAUUUUUAAUUUUAACAAGAUAGUUUGGAAAGAAAAAUGGCUUUCUUAAUUCCAAGUAGUAGACUCUUUAUUUUUAGGUAGCCAUACUAUUAUACAUUCAAG